rfam:Chrysochromulina sp. CCMP291 CAF.Contig8701, whole genome shotgun sequence.
GCGGACGUGGCGAAAUUGGUAGACGCACUAGAUUUAGGUUCUAGCGAGCACCCCUCAUGAGAGUUCGAGUCUCUCCGUCCGCA